AAGGUUUUAAGUUAUUAAAACUAUAAGCCUUCAAAGCUUAAAAUAAAAAAGAAUUUUUAAACCUUG
rnacentral:tRNA from 1 species